CAUGGCUGCAGGAGUGGAGGAGGCUGCUGUGAUUUGUCCGUUUAUGACUCCGGCUUACCAGGCAUCACGCAGCUGUAAGAAGGAACUCAACUAUGCUGAAACACGGGAGGUCAUCAUCACAUCAUGGUGACAAACAACUGGGAGGCCAGUGAGUGGCUGGGACUGAUCACUGCAGGCCUGCUGUGGGUGGACUUCAGGUGAGGAGGACAUGUUUUAAAACCUGAAAUUUUAGCAGGAUGGAAACUGCAUUUGUUAGAAAGUGUCGUCCUUCAGUCACACGUGUCCUUGAAUUUCCUGGAACAAUGUCACCAUUUCAUGUUGUCUUGGAAAAAAAUAUCUUAGCUAAAUUAAAUGUAUUUUAGAGAUGAUAGAGAUCACGAGUGCCCCUAACUGUAGCGUCUGAACUCUCAACCAUCAAUGCUGUUGUCCCCCAGAAGUGCAGAGGAGGAUGAAGAGCACUUUGACAUGUGUCUCAGGUCUCUAGAAGAGGAGAUCAUGUAUAAUGCGGGCCACCUACUGACGGUUGAAGAACCUCAGAAGGAGGUGGAGGAGCAGCCAGAGCCAAGAAAAGCCUGUCUGAAGAAGAAACCUGGCCGAGCCUUCUGUCAUUCUCUCUCCAAGCUCUACAUGCAGGACUCAGGCGAGCAGAUAAUGCAGACAGCUGCUGAAAGCAGAACCACAGUGGAGCUCAGCGAGUCCUGUGGAGAUCAGUGUUACUGGGAGGAGAUCAAGGGUGACGGCUGUAAGUACUACAGGAACGUCUUCACCCACGGAUACCUCGGGUUUGACUCGAGCAGGGAGCAGGUCCACUCUGAAGUCUGUCCUUCUGAAGGUGAAGAGUGGCUUCUGUUGGUGGACGAGUCGGAUCACAGCUAUCGGAGAGCCGUUACCAGAACGGCAGCUUUAUCGGACUAA
rnacentral:lncRNA from 1 species